rnacentral:tRNA from 1 species
GGCCCCAUCGUCUAAUGGUUAGGACGUCAGGUUUUCAUCCUGGAAAUAGGGGUUCGAUUCCCCUUGGGGCUA